UGCCAGACUCCUACGGGAGGCAGCAGUGGGGAAUAUUGGACAAUGGGGGAAACCCUGAUCCAGCGACGCCGCGUGAGUGAAGAAGUAUUUCGGUACGUAAAGCUCUAUCAGCAGGAAAGAAAAUGACGGUACCUGACUAAGAAGCCCCGGCUAACUACGUGCCAGCAGCCGCGGUAAUACGUAGGGGGCAAGCGUUAUCCGGAUUUACUGGGUGUAAAGGGAGCGUAGACGGCAGCGCAAGUCUGGAGUGAAAUGCCUGGGCCCAACCCCGGAACUGCUCUGGAAACUGUGAAGCUGGAGUGCAGGAGAGGUAAGCGGAAUUCCUGGUGUAGCGGUGAAAUGCGUAGAUAUCAGGAGGAACACCGGCGGCGAAGGCGGCUUACUGGACUGUAACUGACGUUGAGGCUCGAAGGCGUGGGGAGCAAACAGGAUUAGAUACCCGGGUAAU
rnacentral:rRNA from 1 species